rnacentral:rRNA from 1 species
AUAAUAAUUUGUCUUUUAAUUAAAGGCUGGAAUGAAUGAUUGGACGAGGUAUAAUCUGUCUCUAUUUUAUUAAAUAUUGAAUUUAAUUUUUAAGUUAAAAAGCUUAAAUAAAUUUAAAGGACGAGAAGACCCUAUAGAGUUUAAUUAUAAAUAAUAUAUUUUAUUUUUAUUAAUUUUUAAUAUAAUAUUUAUAAUUUUAUUGGGGCGAUAGAAAAAUUUAUUAAACUUUUUUAUUAUUUUUUACAUUUAUUAAUGAUUUAUUGAUCCUAAAUUUUAGAUUGAUAGUUUAAAUUACCUUAGGGAUAACAGCGUUAUUUUUUUUAGAGUUCUUAUUGAUAAAAAAGAUUGC